rnacentral:rRNA from 1 species
GACGUAGGGCGCGAGCGUUGUCCGGAUUUAUUGGGCGUAAAGAGCUCGUAGGCGGCUUGUCGCGUCGACUGUGAAAUCCCGCGGCUCAACUGCGGGUCUGCAGUCGAUACGGGCAGGCUAGAGUUCGGUAGGGGAGACUGGAAUUCCUGGUGUAGCGGUGAAAUGCGCAGAUAUCAGGAGGAACACCGAUGGCGAAGGCAGGUCUCUGGGCCGAUACUGACGCUGAUGCACGAAGGCCAGGGGAGCAAACGGG